AGCGAGUCUGCCUUGAAGAUCGGAGUGCUUGCACUCUGUGAAACAAGAUACAGGCUAGCGGCGGACGGGUGAGUAACACGUGGGUAACCUGCCCAAGAGAUCGGGAUAACACCUGGAAACAGAUGCUAAUACCGGAUAACAACAGAUGAUGCCUAUCAACUGUUUAAAAGAUGGUUCUGCUAUCACUCUUGGAUGGACCUGCGGUGCAUUAGCUAGUUGGUAGGGUAACGGCCUACCAAGGCGAUGAUGCAUAGCCGAGUUGAGAGACUGAUCGGCCACAUUGGGACUGAGACACGGCCCAAACUCCUACGGGAGGCAGCAGUAGGGAAUCUUCCACAAUGGACGCAAGUCUGAUGGAGCAACGCCGCGUGAGUGAAGAAGGGUUUCGGCUCGUAAAGCUCUGUUGUUGGUGAAGAAGGACGGGGGUAGUAACUGACCUUUGUUUGACGGUAAUCAAUUAGAAAGUCACGGCUAACUACGUGCCAGCAGCCGCGGUAAUACGUAGGUGGCAAGCGUUGUCCGGAUUUAUUGGGCGUAAAGCGAGUGCAGGCGGUUCGAUAAGUCUGAUGUGAAAGCCUUCGGCUCAACCGGAGAAUUGCAUCAGAAACUGUCGAGCUUGAGUACAGAAGAGGAGAGUGGAACUCCAUGUGUAGCGGUGAAAUGCGUAGAUAUAUGGAAGAACACCGGUGGCGAAGGCGGCUCUCUGGUCUGUUACUGACGCUGAGGCUCGAAAGCAUGGGUAGCGAACAGGAUUAGAUACCCUGGUAGUCCAUGCCGUANACGAUGAGUGCUAAGUGUUGGGAGGUUUCCGCCUCUCAGUGCUGCAGCUAACGCAU
rnacentral:rRNA from 1 species